GGAGGGAAGAUACUGGAGAAAACUAUGCACAAGCAGCUAAAGACAAAGCUAAUGAAGGAGCGAGCAAAGCUGCUGAUAAAGCUUACGAGACCAAGGAGAAGGCUAAAGACACAGCCUACGAUGCAAAGGAGAAGGCUAAAGACACAGCCUAUGAGGCAAAGGAGAAGGCUAAAGACACAGCCUAUGAGGCGAAGGAGAAGACUAAAGACACAGCCUAUGAUGCAAAGGAGAAGGCUAAAGAAUACGCCGAACGGACUAAGGAAAAAGUAAACGAAGGGGCCUAUAAGGCAGCUGAUAAAGCAGAAGAUACAAAAGAAAGAGCCAAGGAGAAAGCAGA
rnacentral:lncRNA from 1 species